GUUAAGCGACUAAGCGUACACGGUGGAUGCCCUGGCAGUCAGAGGCGAUGAAGGACGUGCUAAUCUGCGAUAAGCGUCGGUGAGGUGAUAUGAACCGUUAUAACCGGCGAUUUCCGAAUGGGGAAACCCAGUGUGUUUCGACACACUAUCAUUAACUGAAUCCAUAGGUUAAUGAGGCGAACCGGGGGAACUGAAACAUCUAAGUACCCCGAGGAAAAGAAAUCAACCGAGAUUCCCCCAGUAGCGGCGAGCGAACGGGGAGGAGCCCAGAGCCUGAAUCAGUGUGUGUGUUAGUGGAAGCGUCUGGAAAGGCGUGCGAUACAGGGUGACAGCCCCGUACACAAAAAUGCACAUAUUGUGAGCUCGAUGAGUAGGGCGGGACACGUGGUAUCCUGUCUGAAUAUGGGGGGACCAUCCUCCAAGGCUAAAUACUCCUGACUGACCGAUAGUGAACCAGUACCGUGAGGGAAAGGCGAAAAGAACCCCGGCGAGGGGAGUGAAAAAGAACCUGAAACCGUGUACGUACAAGCAGUGGGAGCCUCUUUAUGGGGUGACUGCGUACCUUUUGUAUAAUGGGUCAGCGACUUAUAUUCUGUAGCAAGGUUAACCGAAUAGGGGAGCCGAAGGGAAACCGAGUCUUAACUGGGCGUUAAGUUGCAGGGUAUAGACCCGAAACCCGGUGAUCUAGCCAUGGGCAGGUUGAAGGUUGGGUAACACUAACUGGAGGACCGAACCGACUAAUGUUGAAAAAUUAGCGGAUGACUUGUGGCUGGGGGUGAAAGGCCAAUCAAACCGGGAGAUAGCUGGUUCUCCCCGAAAGCUAUUUAGGUAGCGCCUCGUGAAUUCAUCUCCGGGGGUAGAGCACUGUUUCGGCAAGGGGGUCAUCCCGACUUACCAACCCGAUGCAAACUGCGAAUACCGGAGAAUGUUAUCACGGGAGACACACGGCGGGUGCUAACGUCCGUCGUGAAGAGGGAAACAACCCAGACCGCCAGCUAAGGUCCCAAAGUCAUGGUUAAGUGGGAAACGAUGUGGGAAGGCCCAGACAGCCAGGAUGUUGGCUUAGAAGCAGCCAUCAUUUAAAGAAAGCGUAAUAGCUCACUGGUCGAGUCGGCCUGCGCGGAAGAUGUAACGGGGCUAAACCAUGCACCGAAGCUGCGGCAGCGACACUAUGUGUUGUUGGGUAGGGGAGCGUUCUGUAAGCCUGUGAAGGUGGCCUGUGAGGGUUGCUGGAGGUAUCAGAAGUGCGAAUGCUGACAUAAGUAACGAUAAAGCGGGUGAAAAGCCCGCUCGCCGGAAGACCAAGGGUUCCUGUCCAACGUUAAUCGGGGCAGGGUGAGUCGACCCCUAAGGCGAGGCCGAAAGGCGUAGUCGAUGGGAAACAGGUUAAUAUUCCUGUACUUGGUGUUACUGCGAAGGGGGGACGGAGAAGGCUAUGUUGGCCGGGCGACGGUUGUCCCGGUUUAAGCGUGUAGGCUGGUUUUCCAGGCAAAUCCGGAAAACC
rnacentral:rRNA from 1 species